CUACGUAGGGGGCGAGCGUUGUCCGGAAUGAUUGGGCGUAAAGGGCGCGUAGGCGGCUUUGCAAGUCAGUAGUGGAAGUCCAUUUUUCAAGGAUGGAAGUGCUACAGAAACUGCGGAGCUUGAGUGCAGGAGAGGUUAUCGGAAUUCCCGGUGUAGCGGUGAAAUGCGUAGAGAUCGGGAGGAACACCAGUGGCGAAGGCGGGUAACUGGACUGCAACUGACGCUGAGGCGCGAAAGUGUGGGGAGCAAACAGGAUUAGAUACCCUGGUAGUCCACACUUUAAACGAUGAAUGCUAGGUGUAGGAGGUAUCGGCCCCUUCUGUGCCGCAGUAAACACAGUAAGCAUUCCGCCUGGGGAGUACGGUCGCAAGAUUAAAACUCAAAUGAAUUGACGGGG
rnacentral:rRNA from 1 species